AAAAAAGCAGGGUCUGUUUGCUUCUUGUAAACAGGGGCUCGAGUAGACUUCAAGAAAUUAUAUGCAUUGUUAUUGGGGUAACCUCUGUAGUUAUUGGUGAUGAAGUUCAGUACAUGAUGACAAUUUU